CCUACGGGUGGCAGCAGUGGGGAAUAUUGCACAAUGGGGGAAACCCUGAUGCAGCGACGCCGCGUGAGUGAAGAAGUAAUUCGUUAUGUAAAGCUCUAUCAGCAGGGAAGAAAAUGCCGGUACCUGUGUAAGAAGCCCCGGCUAACUACGUGCCAGCAGCCGCGGUAAUACGUAGGGGGCCAGCGUUAUCCGGAUUUACUGGGUGUAAAGGGAGCGUAGACGGGAGUGCAAGUCUGAAGUGAAAGGCGGGGGCUCAACCCCCGGACUGCCCUGGAAACUGUACGGCUGGAGUGCAGGAGAGGUAAGUGGAAUUCCUGGUGUAGCGGUGAAAUGCGUAGAUAUUAGGAAGAACACCAGUUGCGAAGGCGGCUCUCUGGACUGUAACUGACACUGAGGCACGAAAGCGUGGGGAGCAAACAGGAUUAGAUACCCGAGUAGUC
rnacentral:rRNA from 1 species